rnacentral:rRNA from 1 species
GAUGAACGCUGGCGGCGUGCCUAAUACAUGCAAGUCGAGCGAACAGACGAGGAGCUUGCUCCGCUGACGUGAGCCGCACGCGUGUGUGUCGCGCGUGUAUAACCUACCUAUAUUACUGGUAUAACUGCGGGAAUGCGGAGCUUAUAGGAUAUGAUAUAUUGAACCACAGGGUUGAAUAGUGAAAUACGGGUUUGCGGUCAGUUCGCGAUGUAUCCGCGCCGCAUUAGCGAGUUGGUAAGUUAACGGUUUAACAAGGCAACGAUGCGUAGCAGAACUGAGAGGGUGAUCGGCCACACUGGAACGGAGACACGGACCAGAAUCCUAAGGGAGGCAGCAGUAGGGAAUGUUACGCAAUGGGCGAAAGUCUGACGGAGCAACGCCGCGUGAGUGAUGAAGGUCUCGGGAUCGUAAAACUCUGUUAUUAGGGAAGAACAAAUGUGUAAGUAACUAUGCACGUCUUGACGGUACCUAAUAAGAAAGCCACGGCUAACUACGUG